GGUAAUCUGCCCUCUGGAAGGGGACAACCACUCGAAAGGGUGGCUAAUACCGUAUAAGUCGGUCGGGUCUGCGGACUUGAUCGGGAAAGCAGGCUUCGGCUUGCACCAGAGGAGGAGCCCGCGUCGCAUCAGCUAGUUGGUGGGUAACGGCCUACCAAGGCUAAGACGCGUAGCUGGUCUGAGAGGAUGAUCAGCCACACUGGGACUGAGACACGGCCCAGACUCCUACGGGAGGCAGCAGUGGGGAAUAUUGGACAAUGGGCGCAAGCCUGAUCCAGCCAUGCCGCGUGAGUGAUGAAGGCCCUCGGGUCGUAAAGCUCUGUGGGAGGCCACGAAACCACGCUGGCUAAUAUCCAGCGUGCUGACGGUAGCCUCUUAGCAAGCACCGGCUAACUCCGUGCCAGCAGCCGCGGUAA
rnacentral:rRNA from 1 species